rnacentral:rRNA from 1 species
UACGUAGGUGGCAAGCGUUAUCCGGAUUUAUUGGGCGUAAGGGAACGCAGGCGGUCUUUUAAGUCUGAUGUGGAAAGCUUCGGCUUAACCGGAGUAGUGCAUUGGAAACUGGGAGACUUGAGUGCAGAAGAGGAGAGUGGAACUCCAUGUGUAAGCGGGUGAAAUGCGUAGAUAUAUGGAAGAACACCAGUGGCGAAAGCGGCUCUCUGGUCUGUAACUGAC